CAGUAGCCGCGGUAAUACGUAGGUCCCGAGCGCUGUCCGGAUUUAUCGGGCGUAAAGCGAGCGCAGGCGGUUUGAUAAGUCUGAAGUUAAAGGCUGUGGCUCAACCAUAGUUCGCUUUGGAAACUGUCAAACUUGAGUGCAGAAGGGGAGAGUGGAAUUCCAUGUGUAGCGGUGAAAUGCGUAGAUAUAUGGAGGAACACCGGUGGCGAAAGCGGCUCUCUGGUCUGUAACUGACGCUGAGGCUCGAAAGCGUGGGGAGCGAACAGGAUUAGAUACCCGGGUAGUCCCUGUCUCUUAUACA
rnacentral:rRNA from 1 species